GACGAACGCUGGCGGCGUGCUUAACACAUGCAAGUCGAACGGAAAGGCCCUGCUUUUGUGGGGUGCCCGAGUGGCGAACGGGUGAGUCACACGUGAGUAACCUGCCCUUGACUUUGGGAUAACUUCAGGAAACUGGGGCUAAUACCGGAUAGGCGCUCCUGCUGCAUGGAGGGGGUUGAAAAGUCUCGGCGGUUGGGGAUGGACUCGCGGCUUAUCAGCUUGUUGGUGGGGUAGUGGCUUACCAAGGCUUUGACGGGUAGCCGGCCUGAGAGGGUGACCGGCCACAUUGGGACUGAGAUACGGCCCAGACUCCUACGGGAGGCAGCAGUGGGGAAUAUUGCACAAUGGGCGGAAGCCUGAUGCAGCAACGCCGCGUGCGGGAUGACGGCCUUCGGGUUGUAAACCGCUUUCGGCUGUGACGAAGCGUGAGUGACGGUAAUGGGUAAAGAAGCACCGGCUAACUACGUG
rnacentral:rRNA from 1 species